CGUAGGGUGCGAGCGUUAAUCGGAAUUACUGGGCGUAAAGCGUGCGCAGGCGGUUUGUUAAGCCAGAUGUGAAAUCCCCGGGCUCAACCUGGGAACUGCGUUUGGAACUGGCAAGCUAGAGUACGGCAGAGGGGGUGGAAUUCCACGUGUAGCAGUGAAAUGCGUAGAUAUGUGGAGGAACACCGAUGGCGAAGGCAGCCCCCUGGGUCGAUACUGACGCUCAGGCACGAAAGCGUGGGGAGCAAACAGGAUUAGAUACCCUGGUAGUCCACGCCCUAAACGAUGCGAACUAGUCGUUGGAGUAGCAAUACUUUAGUGACGCAGCUAACGCGUGAAGUUCGCCGCCUGGGGAGUACGGUCGCAAGAUUA
rnacentral:rRNA from 1 species